rnacentral:tRNA from 1 species
GCCCAACUAGCUCAGUCGGUAGAGCAUGAGCCCCUUAUCUCAGGGUUGUGGGUUCAAGCCCCGUGUUGGGUG